GGAAGGUUUAAUUUUGGCCUGUUAUUUUGCUAAGGGCUUUGUGUGUAUGCGGUUUGGUUUAAAAAGGCUUUAGGCAAUGUGUGAAAGUUGAUAGUUUGAUUUGUUGAGAAUAUGUAAAGUGUGGUUAAGACAGGGGGUAAAAGGUGUGCCAGCUACCGCGGUUAUACAUUUUUCCUGGAGUGAAGUGUUUGAGAGUUUGCGUGGGGAGGUUUUGAGUUGGUAAUGACGGAAUUAUUGGAGGUUAGGUGAAAUUAGCUUUGUGGUGGAGUCUUAUUUUAAGAUAAUGUGAGGAAAAUUUUUGGUAGAGACUAGGAUUAGAUACCCUAUUAUUGAAAAUGUAUGUUUAGGUAGUAUAAGAUAAGCUAGAAACCUAAAAUUUUUGGCGGUUUGUUAGGCUAGUUAGAGGAAUCUGCCCCUUUAUGGAUGGUCCUCCUUAGGUUUUACUUUUUCUGUUGAAGUUUAAAUACCGCCGUUGGAAAAUGGACUUUGUAAGGGUUUGUUGCAAUAGUUUUAUUGUUGAGAUAACAGGUCAAGGUUUAGUUUAUGGAAAAGGUGGUGUGGUGGGUUACAUUGAGUUUUGUUAGAUGGAUUUAAAUGUGAAAGUGUUUUUUGAAAGUGGAUUUAAAAGUAAAUAGUUUAGGAUAGUGGGGUGUUGAUUGUGGCUCUGACAAAUGUACAUAUCGCCCGUCACUCUUGUUGGUGAAUCAAGAUAAGUCGUAACAAAGUAGGUGUAUUGGAAAAUGUAUCUG
rnacentral:ncRNA from 1 species